AAGCAGCCUCAAAAGCAAAGUCUCUUUCUGACCUUCUCCUGCUCUCUUUCUCUCUUGAAGUGAGUGGUAGAAUUCCUCUUGCCUAAGGUGGGUCAUAGAAACUAGAACCCUCUUCCCCAAAGCAAGCCAUAAAACUUAGAUCACUCUUUUCUCUUCCCUCUUAAAGAACCGCAUUUCAGUGGGGUCCUGACCCAUAUCUGGGAGGAAGAAAUUCUACAGAAACCCAGAAGAAUCUGAACAGACAGCCUUACUAGAUUCUGGUACCCAGUGUGGGGUGACUGAAAUGAGCUUGGGACAACUGAUAAAAAAUCAACAACAACAACAGCAGGAACAUUUUUUUUUCAACCAAGGUCAUCUCUCCUGGAUCUCUGCCUAUAGUGCCCAAUUAAAAAUAGAAGUGGAUCCUCUUGCCCAUUUCUGGAUGUGCACCUCCCACUUUGAAGAUCACUGUAAAAUCUGUAACAUUUGAAUGUAAUCUAUGUGGAAAAAUUACAAAAAACUGGAGUGAUAAGUAAAGUUGAGUUCUUUAAGUAAGAGGAAACAGCCUUGACGGACACUCAUUUUGUAACAAGUCUUUUAGUCAGUACUUUCAUGUUGAUUCUCUUUUUCUGCAUGGAAGAAAAAUGAUGAAUUCAUGUUCUCAGAGACCUGUAUCUGUGGUAUCCAAUAAAGUAGCUACUAUCCACAUGUGGCUACUUAAAUGAAUUUAAAUUAUAUUAAAAUUGUUGGUUUUUUUGCUUAUGCUAGCUACACGUUAC
rnacentral:lncRNA from 1 species